rnacentral:lncRNA from 1 species
CUCCGCUCGACCUCUCCCUGGCCUGUCCUGUUCUGUUAUUGCCAGCAUCCUGGUGGGACAAUUUCAUGGGUGGAAUCAGAGUGCGUUAGAGUAAGAAACCUAAAGAGAUGCUAUUUUCUGCCUAAUCUGUUUUCUCCCCGUGGGUCAAUUUGGCUGCACUUUUAUUUUGAAAUCAAAGAACCUAGAAACAAAUGAGCAAACACCUUAUUAUUGAGAACCAUCUGCAGAAAAUCCCACGGAGCAGCUCCAAGGUCAAAGCUUAUCUGUUUUGCCUCAUGCACAAAACAGCCAGCACCAGGAGACCGGCAGGAUGGGAAAUCACAGAAUCAUAAGAAGUUUGGGUAAAAGGAAGCAUCUUCUUUCAGUUGAAUGUAAAGUGAGGACUCUAAGAGAGGCGAAACAAUUUGCUUAAGUCACACAGCUCUGAAGGAGCAGAACCUAUCUCAACCUGGAUCUACACGAUUCUAGGAGCUGUGUUCUGAACCACUCUCUCUCAUCAAUUACAACAAAUCCUUGAAUGACAAUCCACGGGAGCACGAAUAUAAGUUCCUUGAAAGCAGAGAUUUUGUCUGACUUGAUGACUGCCAUCCCCCCAGGACGCAGAACAGGGGCCAGGUCACGCUCAGGAUUUGAGCUGUAUCGAAAUCCACGCUCUGCCACCCAACGGCUGUGACCGUGAACAAGUUAUUUAACUGCUCUGAGGCUGGUUUCCUCAUCUACAAAAU